AUUAUCUUGGCAGAAUAGUGCAAUUGAUUUAGAAUCUUUUAAUGUUAAUUACAGAUAAUA
rnacentral:tRNA from 1 species